rnacentral:rRNA from 1 species
UUUCCGUAAAAGGGCCCUGCGGAAGGAUCAUUACCUAGAGUUUGUGGGCUUUGCCUGCUAUCUCUUACCCAUGUCUUUUGAGUACUUACGUUUCCUCGGCGGGUCCGCCCGCCGAUUGGACAAAAUUAAACCCUUUGCAGUUGCAAUCAGCGUCUGAAAAACAUAAUAGUUACAACUUUCAACAACGGAUCUCUUGGUUCUGGCAUCGAUGAAGAACGCAGCGAAAUGCGAUAAGUAGUGUGAAUUGCAGAAUUCAGUGAAUCAUCGAAUCUUUGAACGCACAUUGCGCCCCUUGGUAUUCCAUGGGGCAUGCCUGUUCGAGCGUCAUUUGUACCUUCAAGCUCUGCUUGGUGUUGGGUGUUUGUCUCGCCUUUGCGUGUAGACUCGCCUCAAAACAAUUGGCAGCCGGCGUAUUGAUUUCGGAGCGCAGUACAUCUCGCGCUUUGCACUCAUAACGACGACGUCCAAAAAGUACAUUUUUACACUCUUGACCUCGGAUCAGGUAGG